GUCCCAGUUCGGAUUGUAGUCUGCAACCCGACUACAUGAAGCUGGAAUCGCUAGUAAUCGCGGAUCAGAAUGCCGCGGUGAAUACGUUCCCGGGUCUUGUACACACCGCCCGUCACACCAUGGGAGUCGGUAACACCCGAAGUCGGUAGCCUAACCGUAAGGAGGGCGCCGCCGAAGGUGGGAUUGAUGACUGGGGUGAAGUCGUAACAAGGUAUC
rnacentral:rRNA from 1 species